AAAUACUGCUCAUUACCUUUCAAUUUUGUAGAUUAGGAGAAUGUAAUUGGAAUGAUAAGGUAGGAUUGCACAGUGUCCCUGUGAUUGUUCUUAGCGCUUGUUGCCACAGAUUUUUAUUGCAAUGUCUCUGCUUGUUGUGUGCUGGGGGAGGUUUGCACCUGCACAUCAGGACCUCCGAGCAGGGAGAAGCACUCCCAGCACAGCUGAGGUGUGAAGCAGCACUAAGAUGGGAGAAGCACUCCCAGCACAGCUGAGGUGUGAAGCAGCACUAAGAUGGCCGCCACAGCCGGCAGCCCCCUUUGGGCGGGGCAUGGGCUGAUUUCAUUGGAGAAGUGGAAUGUCACUCUCCAAGCAAGACAAAAGAUUGGCUGUCCCCCAUGUGCUCCCCAUGUGCUUCUUACAGGAGGAGACAAGAUGGAGGUCGUGGUGGUCAGGGGUUGCAAUGGUUUUAACCCUGCUCUAACAGACUCCUGGAGUCUGACUUGGGCUCUGUGAUGCCUGAGGCCUGCUAGAGGUGUGUCUAUGGCUUGCAGGGCAGCAAGAGUUGUUCUGGAGAUGACUUUCCAGCAAUUUCUACCACGGAGCUGUGCAUAGGACUGCAGGCUGAGGCUCCCCAUUGCCCUGGGCAGCUUUCUGCCCUUCCCUGCAUGCAGGACUUGGCACCCUUGCAAGACUUGUUCCUCAGGCUGGUGUGCUGUGCGUGCUGCCAGCCCUGCGCCUGACUUCUUCCUAAUGACCUGGCUCAUGUUGGAACUCUCUUUAAGAGGAAAAAAAUGCUGUACAUCUUUCAGAAGAAUCUCAGAAGUGAUCUUUGCGCAUGUCAGCGGUUUGAAAGCAAGCAAAAGUAUUAGGUGCAUCAGCACUGCAGAGAACAAGGCCAGAUUGUGUGUGGGAGUACAUCAGCAUUGCUCCAUUGAAGCCAAACAGAGGAUUCUGUCCCUGAACGCUGAGUCCUACAGGGAUCUUAGGUAAUUUCUUUCUGAGCCUCUGGUGCUGUCUGCAAGCUGGUCAAUUGCACAUGAAGCUUCUUUUUACAGCAAAUGUUUAUGAAAAUUGAUUUCAAGUGCUUGCUGUGUCAAGAUCAAAAUACAAGUCAUAUCAGACUAGGACAUGAUCAUUAUACAGUGAUCAGAAACUCUCAAAAACAAUGAUAGGAAGGACAUUUCUCUGCCAUUUUGCUCUAUGACUAAUUAUGUGUAACGUAGGGCUCUUGUAGAGGGAGCUGCAGGAUGAUGGGUGUGUGUGGCUGGAAGAGAAAGGAACAAAAGGCGGUAGCUGGAAAAUGACAUUUUUCUUAAAGAAGAAAAUGUGAAAGGAAAUUCAACUGCUAGUAAAGGAACUAGGUGUGAUUAGAAGAAAACAUAUAAAAGUGAUUCCUAAAGAGUGGAAAGUAGCUCUUCUCACUUCAGGUGACUGAAAGGUAGGGAAAGAAUCAGCUACCAUGCUUCUGUAGCAGAGUUAUUUAUAGCAAAAUGCUGAAGGGAAGUGAACAUACUGGAGCCUUGCUGUGUAGUAAGUAUUAAGGCUCAGAUAAGGAUGCCUUUUUUUUUUUUUUUAACAUCUUUACAGCCUUUCCAAGGGUAAGUUCUGUGGCAACUUAACAGUAACCUUGUAUUCACCUGUAACAGCUGUCACUGGAUCUUAUUUCUUACUUCCCAAAUUAGGGUUUCUGAACUAACAGCUGUGUUUAGGGUGAAAAUCCUGGUGAAAAUCCCAACAUUAGGAGUACCUCCUACAUCAAGUGUGCUUGAGUGGAUUUGCCACAGGGGGAAAAUAUUGUAACUAAUCUUAAUUUAUACAUCGUACCCAUUUUACACUAAGGGUGCAUCAGAAUCAGGCCACUAACUGUUAGAUGGAGCCCAAGAAGCGUGCAGUGACAACAUGACAUUGAGGUGUUUGUAGCCCCAGCCAUCAGUAACCCAGCUGUGCCCCUGUACUUUGUAGGGACUUGGAUGGCAGUUUUACCAAAGCA
ensembl:lncRNA